GGAGAAAACCGAUUAUUAAUUGAAGCAUCAUACCCAACAAAAUCACCAAAAUAUAGCACAAAGAUGAGCAUAUUACUAGAAAUCGGCCUAAUUUGGUUUCUGCGCAAAGAUAAUAACUAUAAAUCGAAACAUCGCCGUCUAGAUAUCCCUUAUCAAUUAAGAUACCACACUUGGACAGACUCUCUCAAUUCCCUCAAAUAUAAUGAAACAAAUCCUCAAAAAUAAAUACCCAGAAAAUGAAUUUCUAUUGAGUGAAAAAUCUCGACAGAAUAAAAUUAUCAUUUCUGCAAGAAUAAAAGUCAGUUAACGCAAUUGGCCUUGAAGGAGAUAAAAAU
rnacentral:misc_RNA from 1 species